GGGCUCACACAAGCGGUGGAGCAUGUUGCUUAAUUCGAUGCAACGCGAAGAACCUUAUCCUGGGCUUGACAUGUACGGAUGCCUACCUGGAAACAGAUUAGGUUGCCUUUCGGGGUGAAACGUACACAGGUGCUGCAUGGCUGUCGUCAGCUCGUGUCGUGAGAUGUCGGGUUAAGUCCCAUAACGAGCGAAACCCUUGUCGCUAGUUGCCAGCGGGUAAUGCCGGGAACUCUAGCGAGACUGCCGGUGUCAAACCGGAGGAAGGUGGGGAUGACGUCAAGUCCUCAUGGCCUUUAUGCCCAGGGCUGCAAACGUGCUACAAUGGCCGUUACAAACUGAAGCAAAACCGCGAGGUCGAGCAAAUCAGAUAAAGGCGGCCCCAGUUCGGAUUGGAGUCUGCAACUCGACUCCAUGAAGUUGGAAUCGCUAGUAAUCGCGUAUCAGCUACGACGCGGUGAAUGUGUUCCUGAGCCUU
rnacentral:rRNA from 1 species